rnacentral:rRNA from 1 species
UACAGAGGUCUCAAGCCGUUGUUCGGAUUCAUUGGGCGUAAAGGGUGCGUAGGCGGCGCGGUAAGUCGGGUGUGAAAUCUUGGAGCUUAACUCCGAAACUGCAUUCGAUACUGCCGUGCUUGAGGACUGGAGAGGAGACUGGAAUUUACGGUGUAGCGGUGAAAUGCGCAGAUAUCAGGAGGAACACCGGUGGCGAAGGCGGAUCUCUGGGCCAUUACUGACGCUGAGGAGCGAAAAGCGUGGGGAGCGAACAGG